GGGCCCGCACAAGCAGCGGAGCGUGUGGUUAAUUCGUUGCUACACGAAGAACCUUACCUGGGUUUGACAUAAUGGUGGUAGGGAUCCGAAAGGUGACCGACCCUUCGGGGAGCCAUUACAGGUGUUGCAUGGCUGUCGUUCAGCUCGUGUCGUGAGAUGUUCGGUUAAGUCCGCUAACGAGCGCAACCCCUAUCUUUAAUUGCCAUCAUUCAGUUGGGCACUUUAGAGAGACUGCCGGUGUUAAGCCGGAGGAAGGUGGGGAUGACGUCAAGUCCUCAUGGCCUUUAUGUCUAGGGCUACACACGUGCUACAAUGGGUGGUACAAAGAGCAGCUAACUCGCGAGAGUAUGCAAAUCUCAAAAAGCCAUCCUCAGUUCGGAUUGGAGUCUGCAACUCGACUCCAUGAAGUUGGAAUCGCUAGUAAUCGCGGAUCAGCAUGCCGCGGUGAAUACGUUCCCGGGCCUU
rnacentral:rRNA from 1 species